rnacentral:rRNA from 1 species
GGAUGAACGCUAGCGAUAGGCUUACCACAUGCAAGUCGAGGGGCAGCGAGGGUAGCAAUACCUGUCGGCGACCGGCGCACGGGUGAGUAACGCGUAUGUAACCUGCCCGCAACAGGGGGAUAACCCGGCGAAAGUCGGACUAAUACCGCAUAAAACAGGGGUCCCGCAUGGGAAUAUUUGUUAAAGAUUUAUCGGUUGCGGAUGGGCAUGCGUACCAUUAGGUAGUUGGUGAGGUAACGGCUCACCAAGCCUUCGAUGGUUAGGGGUUCUGAGAGGAAGGUCCCCCACACUGGUACUGAGACACGGACCAGACUCCUACGGGAGGCAGCAGUGAGGAAUAUUGGUCAAUGGGCGAGAGCCUGAACCAGCCAAGUCGCGUGAAGGAUGACUGCCCUAUGGGUUGUAAACUUCUUUUACAAGGGAAUAAAAUGAGAUACGUGUAUUUUAUUGCAUGUACCUUGGGAAUAAGCAUCGGCUAACUCCGUG